UAUAAAAGCGAUCGUAUAAGAAACUUGUUAUAUUUAUUAAUUUUUUGUACCAUAACAACAACAGAAUGUUUAUUUGUAAGAUUUUAUUCAGUAUUUUUCUGAUAUUUCUCGUCAAUACUGACGUAUCUGGAUUACGAAUUGCAUGUGGACUGAAAUGUCCACCUGUGCCAUAUGGAGCAAGGCAUUGUGGUAUUUUAUGCCAACCUGGUAGUUGUGGUUACGGAUAUCUCUGCUGUUCUAUUGGUUGUGGUAAAGAGUGCAGAAAAGGAAUUCGAACAUGUAGAUAAAACUUGCAAUCAACUGGUCAUUACUGAGAGCAAAGGACAGACAAGAUUUGAGUACUUUUGUUUCUUGACUUGUAGUUGAUUAUAAUCUUUUUCUCCAAAAACAAAGAAUAAAAUAUGUGCAAAGAUUA